rnacentral:rRNA from 1 species
AUACAGAGGGUGCAAGCGUUAAUCGGAAUUACUGGGCGUAAAGCGCGCGUAGGCGGUUUGUUAAGUCGGAUGUGAAAUCCCCGGGCUCAACCUGGGAACUGCAUUCGAAACUGGCGAGAUAGAGUAUGGUAGAGGAUAGUGGAAUUCCGGGUGUAGCGGUGAAAUGCGUAGAUAUCCGGAGGAACAUCAGUGGCGAAGGCGGCUAUCUGGACCAAUACUGACGCUGAGGUGCGAAAGCGGGGGGAGCAAACAGGAUUAGAAACCCUUGUAGUCC